rnacentral:lncRNA from 1 species
GCAAUAGGAGUAAAAUGUUUCUCUUAUAGGCUUCUGCUUUACACAUUGCAUGCUUGCCUUAAGCGAUUCAAAACCUAAAUAGACCUUAACUCACAAAAGAUCUCUUAGAAACCCUGCUGGAGACAAAUCCUGGGCUCGGUGCACAUUUGGUGUGAUCAGCUGUGGCUCUCAGUAUUCUAACACUCAUCAUGUGCCUCACUGGUGUCAGGAGAGAUUUGGGCUGUGUACUAAUGGCUGUGGAGCUUGAUGGGCAUGUUGGUGGGAGUUGACUGAACGGAUUUAGCAGGUGAUGAAGUCAGCUUCCUCUAGACUCACCUUAGUUGCUUCCCCUCCUUGAUGAACCUUUUCCUUUAAGUCACCCUGGGAAGCAGCACUACUGGGAAGCAGCUCCUCCUGCAAGAGAUGAGCAUUCAUGUCAUGACACUGCUGAGGAUUCACAGUACAUCUACACAGGAAACAGUCCUGAUGGCUUCAGGAACACAGAAACCAAAACAAGACCUGCCAGCCUCAAACAACACCCUCUUUCUUCACAUUAGAAAUGGAAACACGUCCUCUGCAGGAAUUUUCCACUUAAUAGCUCCUGCUUUCCUACCGGGGGCCUCAGUGCACCACCACUGCAAUGCUGUAUUUCUUUCCACUGCAGUUUGACAUUUUGCAGCCAGAACAACGAACGGCAUUCACUCCAUCCUGAUUUUUGAAAAACAUAUCUCUAUAGGCCCACUGAACGCACCCAGUGCAGCAAUCACCAGGGGGAAAUGGCAAAGGUAUUUAAACAUCAUUACAUGUCACUGAGGAUAUGACAUUGUCUGGUAAUAAUGCUCUUUUAUGCAGUCGUUUUUUCUUAGUCCCCCAUUCCUCCCCCCUCCAACCCUUUAUACACACAGGCAGACACCAAAGCCUCUGCCCUGCUCUCCUGUUACCAGCCACUCUCAUGUUCUACACUUGAUUGCAAUUGUUUGCCGUUGUGAAUUAUUUCCUUUGCAUGGUAUUUGCAAACUGUGUAUCAGGUCCUGACACCGUGAGGAGCAGAAAUGCAGAUUGCAGAUAAUCUGAGCAGUAAACAAGAAGCCUGCUUUAAAAUGCGCUGAGUGACCUGUCUGAAAGCAGCAAUAUUUGCAGACUGUUUACUGCUGAGAUGCAGGGAUGUCGCUGAAAUGCAGCAGCCUGAAGACUGGAGCAAAAUGGGAUCUCAGACACUCGGUCAAGCACAACGUGUAAUUUUUUUAUUUGUUGCUUACACUGUGCUUUUUCUAAAUUUGGAGCAGUAUUAUAAAUUAUUAAAAGCUAAUUUCCAAAAAUCCCUUUGCUGUGUUUAUGAAAUAUU